UAGGGAAUAUUGCUUAAUGGGCGAAAGCCUGAAGCAGCAACGCCGCGUGUGUGAAGAAGGCCUUCGGGUUGUAAAACACUUUUUGAGGGAAUGAGGAAGGACAGUACCCUCAGAAUAAGCCUCGGCUAACUACGUGCCAGCAGCCGCGGUAAAACGUAGGAGGCGAGCGUUAUCCGGAUUUACUGGGCGUAAAGCGCGUGCAGGCGGCACGGGAAGUAGGGCGUGAAACCUCCUGGGUUAACGGGGGGAGGGCGUCCUAAACUGGCG
rnacentral:rRNA from 1 species